CUUCUCUCUACACCUUCUCUCUCUUUCUCUCUAAAGCCCUAGAUAAAUAUGUAUCAAAUUCAUUCCCCCAUAUCGUUUAAGGUCUAAACAAACAGACAUUUUGCCAUAGCUUUUAUGUAAGGAGAUCAGAUUUCAAGUCGUUUAAGGUAGCCGAGGGAUCUAAAACAGCUGGUAAAGCUAUUGGGAUCGAUGUCGACAAAAUUAUAUUUGAUAGGAGAUGUCUUUCUGUCACCAACUGGGCCAAGAAGAUCCUUUGGCGGAAGUAUAUGAAAACUGAGCAAACAACAAUUAGUAAUCAUUGUUAGGAUGAAUUACGUUUUUUUGUGUUGUAACUAUUGAAUAACUCUCUGCAACUUAAACUUGAAUCUUGGAUGAUGUGGAUUUUGGGUAUGUUUUAAUA